rnacentral:lncRNA from 1 species
GUUCUGUAAGAAGGGAAAACCAGAAGAUCAUGUUGAUUUAGUUGCUGUCUGACCUGAGCAGUCUCCAAAGUUCCCAGUAUUCAGUAAACCAAGCAAACCCAUACGCUAAACUCCCACAGGUAUAGUGCAUACCGUUCAUUGAAACACACAUGGUAGAAGUCAGUGAUAAAUGUCACUAUGCCAUUUUGAAAUCCUGUUUCCAUAUUGGGCUUGUCAAGGAUAUAAAAGCAGAAAGAAGGAAUAAAAGUAAGACAGGAACAAAUUAUUUCAGCUUUUCUGUCCAUGACAAUUACAUAAGUAAGAAAGAAACAUUGUACACAACUUCUUACGCAAGUAAGAGCCAAUAGAACAACUAGAAUGUUUUUCCCAAAAUGAAGAAUCUACCAGCUUUGAAAUCUUUGGGGGGAGACAUUGCAUUUGCAGUGUUAAAAAAAGUAGUUAAUUCCUUUUUUCUGUUGGUAAAAGAUGCAAAACCACAGACCUUGCAGUCACUUGUAAUUAAAACCCACAGUCCAAAACACUACCAUGUAUCAGCAAGACCUGGCAUUACUAUGAAAGGUAUACUCUACAGAGAAGGAGAUAUGGGGCAACACUCAUGUCAUGGUAUAAUGAUUUCCUACUGCAGACUUAUACUGCCAUAGUGCUACAACAAAAAGGAUCUUUCAAAGGCCUCAAUAGUAUUUAGUAACCAUGACUGUUAUGCAGUGCUAGAUGCAAGAAAUAAGUGAACUGCUAUCUUAGGCACAGAAGUAAGGCAAAGCAGUAGUUAGAGUUUGUCACAAAACACUUGCAGCUAACACAGAAGGAACGCAAGUUGAGGGCAAUAAAUACAAAGCACAAGUUAAGUGCAUGGUGCGACCAGUGUGAAUGUCACAGUUGUGCCAGAAGUUAUUUUUCAAUUAGAAUGAGCUACACAGAAGAUAAUAAAAAAUGAAAGGCUACUAUGCACACCAGGCAAGAAGUGGAGUGGAGGUGAAGAGACUGAGGAAGGGGGAGGGAAAAGCAAAGUGCUAUUCAGCAGCCUGAAGCAAACUCAGCUAAAACCAUACAAAUGACUUGUACUUGUCCUGUCUCUCUCUGCAGCUGUUUUCUCUGGCUCUGCUCUAGCUUAUCUCCCUCUCUGUGUCAACAUCAUGGUGGCAAAGUGGGAACUGGAUGGAUCUCUCCAUGUUUAAAUGCCUUUUGAUGGCCCAGGACCACUCCUGGACCUCACAGUGGAGAGAACACAUACCAGUGCAAUAUGCAAUGUGCAGUAGUGAUGGCGCCCUCCUGCUCUCUCCUGUCAGCUGCAAACCCUCCCUGAUACAGAUACCUGUACAGGGUGGGAGAGAACAUCCCUGCAGGCUCCUGCUGUGGCAAAUUCCCUAAUGCAGCACAUCACACCAAAGAGAAGACGGAUCUCAUCCCUCUUGUGCGGAAUCCUCCUGCCCUACUGCAACACUGGGGCUUGGCUUUUGAUAAUGUCAGGAGCUGCCAACAGCUGAGGUAAGCCAAAGGCAACAGUAAGCUGGUAACAGCGCUUGACAUGAGCACAGGAAGGUGGGCUUUUAUUUUUUAGUUUCCCUCUGAGAGCUUGACAGACUGAAGACUGGAAUUUGAGCAAGGAAAGUCUCAUAGCAAUCUUAAUAUACCAUUCAAUUCGCCUGGAACACAUCCAGUUGAUGAGGCUUGUGUAGUGAUGGGUGGUCAAUGCAUUUGCAAGUCAAGCAAAUAAUUACACACGUUAAGUGCCCAGCCUCAAGUAUUCAUAUUUGCACUAGGCAUCAGUUCAAAGCAUGAAUUUCUGAAGAUUCAAAUUCCGCAGCCAGCCAAAUACAAAUUGAUUGCUGAGGAUUUCAAACACUAAUUUUACCAAACAAAAUUAUUAUUCAAGGCAAACAAAUUAAUUUUGUUCCAUCAGGA